GGCGGUUCUCAGGUGACGCACCCUGGAAUUGGGCUCCCUCCUCUCUGGUUCUGGGUGCAUCACCUGAGAACCAAA
rfam:Myotis lucifugus cont2.36665, whole genome shotgun sequence.